rnacentral:rRNA from 1 species
UACGUAGGUGGCAAGCGUUGUCCGGAUUUACUGGCGUAAAGGAGCGACGCAGGCGGUCGUCCAAGUCGCGUGUGAAAGCCCCCGGCUCAACUGGGGAGGGUCACGGCGAUACUGGUCGACUCGAAGGCAGGAGAGGGUAGUGGAAUUCCCGGUGUAGUGGUGAAAUGCGUAGAUAUCGGGAGGAACACCAGUGGCGAAGGCGACUACCUGGCCUGUUCUUGACGCUGAGGCGCGAAAGCUAGGGGAGCAAACGGG